CCUACGGGAGGCAGCAGUAGGGAAUCUUCCACAAUGGACGCAAGUCUGAUGGAGCAACGCCGCGUGAGUGAAGAAGGUCUUCGGAUCGUAAAACUCUGUUGUCAGAGAAGAACGUGCGUGAGAGCAACUGUUCAUGCAGUGACGGUAUCUGACCAGAAAGUCACGGCUAACUACGUGCCAGCAGCCGCGGUAAU
rnacentral:rRNA from 1 species